rnacentral:lncRNA from 1 species
AUCUAUUUUAUUCAUAUUUUUAAGCAUAUCACCUUUCUAUUUUUUUUAAUAUUUAUUUUAGUGAAAUUACAAUGAAAGAUAUAAAACUUGCAACGUGGUUAAAAGUAGUAAGGAUAAAUUAGGAAAUCUGGUGGUAAUCGAUUUUUUUUUUUUGGUUUACAAUGAGUUGGAGAUCGAACCCAUGACCUAUAACGUACUAUCAAAACCCCUCAACACUAGAUCAAACCUAAUGGCUUUGGUGGUAAUCGAUUUUAAUAUAUUAGUAAUAGAUGUUUUUAUUUAUUUAAUAUGUUAGCUUGUUAGAGAAUCUAACUCUAAAAAAUAUUUCCAUUUAAAUAAGAUGAUAAAAGAUUUUUUCUUUCAAAUAAAAGAUGAUAAAAAAAUUUCUUAUUUACUUUAUAGCAAC